GGAUGAGGGCGGCCGGCAGCUGAAGGAGGAGGACAGCUAGAAUCGUGAUAGAAAUUGAUGGCGGAGGACAGCGGCUGAGUGGUGACAGAAAAUGGAGGAGGAGGGCGGCGGCCCAAGACACGGGGCUAGACGGAUAGGAACAUAUAUUACGAAAAAAUAAGGGAGGAAACAACUAGCUAGAAGGAAGGAAGCUAAGAAAAAGGAGCAACAAGGAAAGAAGCAAAAGAAAAAGGAAAAGUUAACACAUAAAGGAGUCAUUUCAAUCAAAUGCAACAUAUGUGAUAAAUAUGGGCACAAUAAGAGGUAUCAUGGGAAUCCUAAAAGCAUCCAAGCAUCAGAAACUCAGUCCUCACACUCUGUGAAUGCAUCAAGUAGUGUUGAUAUUCAGCAGCCCACACAAGGCAGUCAAGUAACUGGUGAAUUUGGGAUGAUCGAUGUGAGUGCAUCCUUUUGGAUGAUCUCAUCUUUUUCUCUCUUGAGAAUUAUGAUUGCAAUUUACUAUAAUUUGAUGCAAGGUUCUACACGGAUUCAAAACUUUAGAUUUACUACUAAUGUUUAUGCUAGUCAAACAAGUUCACUGUUUGAAGGUGUUGUUCCAUCUAAUGUUGGAGUUCAAAUCCCACCGGAAGGGCAAGAGGCAAAAGAGUUAAGCGUACAAAAAACAGAGGCAAAGAGGUGUCAUCAAGAUACAUGGACCACUUAAAAGAAUCAAAGAAGUGAUCUUGAUUUUUAAUGGUUCUUUUGGAUAUUUUGAAAUUUUGCUUGUGUUCCUUUUUUGGAAUUGAUGGUUAAUUUGGAUUUCCGGCAUAUGUUGUAUACAAUCAUCAUU